rnacentral:rRNA from 1 species
UACAGAGGUCCCAAGCGUUGUUCGGAUUCACUGGGCGUAAAGGGUGCGUAGGUGGUGGGGUAAGUUUGAUGUGAAAGCUCCGAGCUUAACUCGGAAAUGGCAUUGAAUACUAUCCUGCUUGAGGUUUGGAGGGGGGACUGGAAUUCUCGGUGUAGCAGUGAAAUGCGUAGAUAUCGAGAGGAACACCAGUGGCGAAGGCGAGUCCCUGGACAACACCUGACACUGAGGCACGAAAGCUAGGGGAGCAAACAGG